GAGCUCAGGCAAGGCUACCCGCUGAACUUAAGCAUAUCAAUAAGCGGAGGAAAAGAAACUAACAAGGAUGCGCUUAGUAACGGCGAGCGAACCGCGCAAAGCCCAACUUGAAAAUCUCCCUUGGAGAAUUGUAGUCUAAAAGAAGU
rnacentral:rRNA from 1 species